UAAGGCGAUGUCGUACGGUGGACAGAUCCAUUGGUUCCUUGACAAUCUCGUGGUAAUCGUGUAGGCCCAAAAACUGGGCAUCCAGUGGCAUUCAUUUCCGGCGAGGGACGUUCACUCUCUUGCUUUCCAGACAUGCUGGAAAAUGCGUAGGAUAAUAUGAAAGUCUCCAAAGAGCUAUUAUUUCUCACCCUUUUUGCCACUGGCUACAAAAAGAUUAAAUGCAGAGUAAUAUUUUUUUUAGCAA